CCUUGGGUUGUAAACCGACUGUCAAGGAGGGGAAACGUAUGGUGUUAACAGCGCCAUGCUUGACUGCUCCCUAAAGGAAGCCCGGCAAAACAUGUGC
rnacentral:rRNA from 1 species